UUUUUUGUUCCUUCAUUUACAAGUUGUUAAUAUUUUCAACAUAACUGAUAAAUUUGAAUAUGCUUGUUUUUACCAUUUAUGAAAACUGUAGGAAGGUGGCUGCAUUUUUAGUUGUGUUUUCACUGUCUGCUCCUGUUUUGUGGCCAGUUAUGGAGUUAAAGUUUUGUUUUGUUGUUAAUUUGUUUUGUCUGAUCAGUUUAGUUAAGAUUUUACUCCUCAGACCAGUGCUUUAUAUUCCUUUAUAUUGUUGCAUCCUAUAGAAACUCCUAGACUCAUAUAGAUAUACAGAGACACUGAAAAGUUUAAACAA